rnacentral:pre_miRNA from 1 species
AAUAAGUGCAGUUUUGCACUAUUCACGUUCAACGUUUGACCGUUCGUCUUAUUUGAAAUUUUUUUAUGAUUAGUAUUUUUAUUGCUAUUAGAUGAUAAAACAUGAAUAGUACUUUAUGUGUGACUAAAUAUUUUUAAAUUUUUCAAAUAAGACGAACGGUCAAACGUUGGGCACGGAUAUCCACGACUGCACUUAUU